rnacentral:rRNA from 1 species
AUUGAACGCUGGCGGCAUGCCUUACACAUGCAAGUCGAACGGUAACAGGGAGCUUGCUCCGCUGACGAGUGGCGAACGGGUGAGUAAUGUAUCGGAACGUACCAUUCAGUGGGGGAUAACGUAGCGAAAGUUACGCUAAUACCGCAUAUUCUGUGAGCAGGAAAGCAGGGGAUCGCAAGACCUUGCGCUGAUUGAGCGGCCGAUAUCAGAUUAGCUAGUUGGUGAGGUAAAGGCUCACCAAGGCGACGAUCUGUAAGCGGGGUCUGAGAGGGAUGAUCCGCCACACUGGAACUGAGACACGGUCCAGACUCCUACGGGAGGCAGCAGUGGGGAAUUUUGGACAAUGGGGGCAACCCUGAUCCAGCCAUGCCGCGUGAGUGAAGAAGGCCUUCGGGUUGUAAAGCUCUUUCGGCCGGGAAAAAAUCGCAUCAGUUAAUACCUGGUGUGGAUGAUGGUACCGGAAUAAGAAGCACCGGCUAACUACGUG